GGUGGGCGCGCGGCGACGUGUCGACGCAAGCGGUGUGGGCGCGCGGGAGCCGGCGCAGCGGCGGCGGCGAAAGGCGCCAAGGGGGCGGUACUUCCGGCUCCGCACUUCCGGCCGUGGCGCCGCGGCGGUCGGUGUGGCAGCAGCGCUCGGCCCGGCCCGCUCCGCCCGCCCCCCCAUGCAGCGCCGUGACGACCCCGCCGCCCGCAUGGGCCGGGGGCCGGGCCCCGGCGGCGCCCGGCAAGGGGGACCUCAGCAGCGGCGACCGCCCCGUGGCGGCGGCGGGGGCCGCGGGGCCUCCAGCGGGGCGCAGCCACCGCCGCUCCUCCCGUCCGGCGGCGCGGCCGGCGGCUCGGGCACUCAGGCCUCCACGCCCGCCCCGCUGCUGUCCGGGGGCGCUGCCAAGAUGGAGCCCGAGAACAAGUACCUGCCCGAGCUGAUGGCCGAGAAGGACAGCCUGGACCCGUCCUUCACACACGCUAUGCAGCUCCUCACCGCAGAAAUUGAAAAAAUUCAGAAGGGUGAAACAACAAAGAAGGAUGAGGAAGAGAACUACCUGGAUUUAUUUUCCCACAAGAAUAUGAAACUGAAAGAACGAGUUCUGAUCCCUGUCAAACAGUACCCCAAGUUCAACUUUGUUGGAAAGAUUUUGGGACCUCAAGGCAACACCAUCAAGAGACUCCAGGAAGAAACCGGUGCUAAAAUAUCUGUGCUCGGGAAGGGUUCAAUGCGAGAUAAAGCAAAGGAGGAAGAACUGCGCAAAGGGGGAGAUCCUAAAUACGCUCAUCUAAAUAUGGAUUUGCACGUCUUCAUUGAGGUCUUCGGCCCCCCCUGUGAAGCAUACGCUCUGAUGGCUCAUGCCAUGGAAGAAGUCAAGAAGUUCCUCGUUCCAGACAUGAUGGAUGAUAUCUGUCAGGAGCAAUUCUUGGAGCUCUCCUAUCUGAACGGUGUGCCAGAGCCAGGUCGUGGCCGAGGAGUCCCCGUGCGGGGAAGGGGAGCUGCUCCGCCGCCGCCUCCGCCCGUUCCAAGGGGCCGUGGCGUUGGUCCUCCCCCCCCUCCUCCUCCUCCUCCUCCUCGGGGGGCCCUGGUGCGGGGAGCCCCGGUGCGCGGUGCCAUCGCCCGCGGAGCCGCCGUAGCCCGCGGGGUCCCUCCUCCCCCCGCCGUUCGGGGAGCUCCUGCGCCCAGAGCACGUGCUGCUGGCAUUCAGAGAAUACCGCUCCCUCCUCCUCCCGUGCCAGAAACCUAUGAGGAAUAUGGCUAUGAUGAUAUGUAUGCAGACCAGAGCUAUGAGGGGUAUGAAGGCUACUACAGCCAGGGCCAAGGGGACACAGAAUACUAUGAUUAUGGACACGGGGAGGCACAGGAAACCUAUGAAGCUUAUGGGCAAGAUGACUGGAACGGAACCAGGCCCUCCCUGAAGGCCCCGCCGGCCAGGCCAGUGAAGGGGGCCUACAGAGAGCACCCAUACGGACGUUAUUAAAAAUCAAACAUGAGGGAAAAAUAUCAGUUAUGAGCAAACAGUUGUUACUGAUUCUUGUAUCUCCCAGGAUUCCCGUUGCUUUACCCACACCAGACAAGAGCCAAGACGCCAUCGCGGUGAAUCACUCGGGGGAAGAUGAGCAGGGGCAACACCAAGUGGGCACAGCUUUUAUAUCAAGUGGAAAAGAUUUGAUAGAAAUCAUCUAUUAUGAUGCAGUUUUUUACCGGUAGAAGUGGAUCUUGUGGCGCUGCCUUUGGAGUCGUACGGCUUGCUUGUGCAUUGCAUUUGUUGCAUGUUUAUGUGAAAGAUUCUAAUGUUAUGGAGGAAUGUAAAUUCAAUAUAUUGAAAUAACUGUAUAUGUUAAAAAAUAUUUUGAAAACGUGCCCUGCAUCAAGUAUCUUCCUCCUUCUCACAGCGUUGCUGCAUUCAGAUUUUAGCCCCGAGUCUGCGGAAGCUAAUUUGAGAUCCCAAAAUAGCCACUGGCAUGCGGAUGUGUCUCUCAAAGAUGCUCUAAUUAGCCAGACGUUCCGGGGGUGAUACAGGACUGAAAUUGGUGAGGGGUAGAGAUUCCUUUGAGCGCUGAAGUCAGAGUCACCCCAAUAACCUUCCCUUUCCUCCUGCCCUGGCCGCAGAGGUUGGAUUCUGCUGGCUCUGAGCUGACAAGCACCACUGAUCCUUCACCUCCCGAUUUCCCCAAAGGCCUAAUCCACAUCUUAUUAUAUGUAGGAUUUUGGUAAAGACCGUAAACAAGAUUGUCCCUGGUGCUGUACAGUGUGAUGUACAUCAGCAGCCACCUCUCCUCCAUGGAAAUGUUUCCCAAAAAUCCUGUUUUUUUUCAGAAGUUUGUCUCCAGAAACACCCUCUCGGCUGCUCUGGCCCUUGUUUGGAACGGCCACAGCUCCUUUGGUUUAAAUCCUUGGGCUGCAUUUGCUUGGAGCUGGUUCAGACCGGGACUUCAUGCUUCCUCCGUGAGGACUCACCAUGCACAGUGGUUCAUAGUAGCCUGGACAGCAACAGGAGUGUGAAACGGGCUCCGGCUGCUGCUGCGGGGAUGUCCCCAGCACCUGUCCCUGUCGUACCCCGUUCCAGUUGCUGUUCAGACUAUUAAAUAAAGCAAAGGGCUACAAGCUUUCCUUUAUAGCUUACCCACGCUGUUUUAUGUUUGACUUAAAACACCAUGCUUUCAGUAAGACUAAGAUACUACCUCGAUAUAGCCCUCUGUUUCAUUCCAUUUUUGGCAAUCUGGGUUUAGGAGCACAGCUGGAUUCCCUGUUUGGCUGUUAAAGCAGACGACUCUUUUUGUACAGGAUGAGUUUUUAAAUUUGUAUGAGAGCAUCUGUCAAGGAACAGAGCCAAGAAAAACAACUUAAACAUGCACAUCUUCCCUUCCUCACCCCAUACCGCUGCUCUCCUCAAGAACUCUUGGGCAAAGGGUGAUUGCACAGCCUGUGACAGACCCUCCAAAUGUCCCCAGAGGAGCAGAGACCAGCUGCGACCUGUCUGCUGGGAGAUGCGAUGCCGCUAACACAGCUUUUCCUGUGGCUGCGGGGAACAAGUACAUAUGGUGCUUUUGGGGAGGAAGACGGGGCUUGGGGAAUUUCUUCUUUAAUUGAAAAACCUCUAGAACAUCUCGGAUGAGGUGUUGGACGCAUGCCCCGUAUGGAAGCUUUGAGGGGGAGGAAUUUCUGCAGGCUGGUGGGGGCCCGUGGGAGCUCCCAUCUCAAAUGUAGACAUUAUUCCUCUUUUUCUACUCAGGAAGCUCGAGCCUUCCAUCGCUACCAUAUGUUUUAAUAGAAAUGUUGUUUCCACGCUUGUUUUGCUCCUUUUGCAAAGCGGGAUGAAUCUCCAAGGAGCCGAUCUCAGGUCUGCUAAAGGAACCUGGUUAAGAUGCCGUUUGCUUUGCCAUGGUUGGGAAAUGGGAACCUGGCAGCUCGUGGUGAGCGCUGGGAACACCGGAGCAUCCUCAGAACCUGGAGAGCAGCAGCUGGGUGGCGAUUUAAAGUGUUUUCUAAUGAAGUUGUUACUUUUAUCGCUGGCUUUAGAACCAAAUGUGACCAUCGUGUGUGGUGUUACAGAAGCUAAACCUGUUUUCAGCCUGACAUUGCUACAUCCUACCUGUCACCUUCAUAGUUAUACCUGGAAGACUUGGUUAAAACCACAGGUGUCUGGAUGCUCCUGGUGUUUGAUGUCUCUGCACAAUGAAGGUUUCAAAAUGAGCAGAAAGCCAAAGAUUGGCCCUGUGUAAGUUCAUUAAUUUUAGAGGUGACUUUGCCUCCUGUUCUCAGGAUUGUGUAAUGCUCCAUCUGUCCCGAAGCACCAAACACCCACCAGUUAAGGAAAUCGAUGAAAAACACUGCGAGUGGUCGGUAAAGAUGGUGAAAACUGAUCAAGGUGAAUCACAGCACUAAAAUAACUCGCAUAGGAAGCUGGCAAGCUCCUGCCUGGCUGGUAUUUAGCGAGGAGCGUUCAGCAGAUGUUGAAAACCAUUAGUCAUUCCCUGUAAUAAAGCUUUAAUGUUGAAAA